CAAUGCUUACAUCAUAGCGUUAAUGCAUUGAAUCCCAUUAUAACUCUGUAGUUAAGCAUGCUCAAGAUAGAGUAGUACUGGGAUGGGUGACCGCUCAGGAAGUCUUAGUAGUUUACAUGCC
rnacentral:rRNA from 1 species